GUUUUCACUGUGAUUCGUAUCGGGGUGACUAGCUUGGUUGCAAAAAUUUCGCCUUUUGGAGAUGGAGACACUAGUUGCGGUUGGUCAUCAUCGGAGCCAAUAUUGCAGCAGGAGCAAGCCACGGAUCACGGAUCAUUUCGGUUCCUCGCCUCCGAGAGGCUUCAAAGGGAUCAAUUGCCGAACCUUUCAGUCUGGUGUGGCUAUUCUGCCGUCGCCUCCCACGAAAGAUUUCUUUUUUAAUGGCUAUUCGGAACCCAAAUCUCCUGUCUAUUAUUCGGAACCUCCCAAAAGAAGUAGGAGGACCAAACCCAUCCCUAUUAACCCCGUGCCGACUCCUAAAGAAGCCACCUUUGCCGAUGACUUUUCAUGCUCUGAGCUGUGGGCUGGGCCUGCCUACUCGAACUCACCCCCUCCUAGUUCGUUGCCCAUC
rnacentral:lncRNA from 1 species